rnacentral:rRNA from 1 species
UACGUAGGGUGCAAGCAUUAAUCGGAAUUAUUGGGCGUAUAGGGCGCGUAGGCGGCCUUCUAAGUCGGACGUGAAAUCCCUCGGCUUAACCGAGGAACUGCGUCCGAUACUGAAAGGCUUGAAUCCGGGAGAGGGAUGUGGAAUUCCAGGUGUAGCGGUGAAAUGCGUAGAUAUCUGGAGGAACACCGGUGGCGAAGGCGGCAUCCUGGACCGGCAUUGACGCUGAGGCGCGAAAGCUAGGGGAGCAACGGGG